UUCGACCUACGGGGCGCAGCAGUGGGGAAUAUUGCACAAUGGGGGAAACCCUGAUGCAGCGACGCCGCGUGAGUGAAGAAGUAUUUCGGUAUGUAAAGCUCUAUCAGCAGGGAAGAAAAUGACGGUACCUGACUAAGAAGCCCCGGCUAACUACGUGCCAGCAGCCGCGGUAAUACGUAGGGGGCAAGCGUUAUCCGGAUUUACUGGGUGUAAAGGGAGCGCAGGCGGUCUGGCAAGUCUGAUGUGAAAUACCGGGGCUCAACUCCGGGACUGCAUUGGAAACUGUCAGACUGGAGUGUCGGAGG
rnacentral:rRNA from 1 species